AUCCAACUGACGAGUCCCAAAUAGGACGCAACGCGCGUUCUAGAU
rfam:Schistosoma rodhaini strain Burundi genome assembly, scaffold: SROB_scaffold0000914